UACGUAGGGUGCAAGCGUUGUCCGGAAUUAUUGGGCGUAAAGAGCUCGUAGGCGGUUUGUCGCGUCGAAUGUGAAAACCCGGGGCUCAACCCCGGGCCUGCAUUCGAUACGGGCAGACUAGAGUUCGGUAGGGGAGUCUGGAAUUCCUGGUGUAGCGGUGAAAUGCGCAGAUAUCGGGAGGAACACCUAUGGCGAAGGCAGCUCGCUGGGACGUUACUGACGCUGAGGAACGAAAGCCAGGGUAGCGAACGGG
rnacentral:rRNA from 1 species